rnacentral:rRNA from 1 species
GCUUGUCUCAAAGAUUAAGCCAUGCAUGUCUAAGUAUAAACAACUUUGUACUGUGAAACUGCGAAUGGCUCAUUAUAUCAGUUAUAGUCUACUCGAUAGUACCUUACUACUUGGAUAACCGUAGUAAUUCUAGAGCUAAUACAUGCGUAAAUACCCAACUGCUUGUCGGACGGGUAGCAUUUAUUAGAUUGAAACCAACCCGGGCAACCGGUCCUUUGGUGAUUCAUGAUAACUUUGCGAAUCGCAUAGCUUUAAUGCUGGCGAUGGGUCAUUCAAAUUUCUGCCCUAUCAACUUUCGACGGUAGGAUAGAGGCCUACUGUGGUGAUAACGGGUAACGAAGAAUAAGGGUUCGAUUUCGGAGAGGGAGCCUGAGAAACGGCUACCACAUCCAAGGAAGGCAGCAGG